UUGUGGUGUAGCAUGGAGGUUGGAGCGCUGCGCUGUGGCUGCUCACUCUCAGUGGCGCUGCCCCCGCGGAACUGCGCCCGCGUCCCGCACGACUCCGCGCCCUUCGCUUCUCUCUCUUCUUCUUCCUCGCCCCGCCGCUCAGCGCCCUUCUGGAGGCCGUGGGCGCCCGGCCCCGCCACGGUGCGCAGCCCCUGUGGGCUGGCCGAGGCCUCCGGAAAGCUGGCUCAGUACGCACACCCCGUGAGGUGGAAAUACGGAAUCCAGAGAAUAUAUUUCUUCUUAUAUGUGGAGAAUGUUUAGUCAUUGGCCAUGUGAGGGGAAUGCUGUAUGAAGUUUGUCUAGUCAGCCUUCAAGUAGCACGUAUAAUAACAAUAAGGAAACUUACUCUAUGCUUGUUUCAGACUAUUUUGGCCCAAAUCAAGGUGCUACGAUUACCUGUAUCAGGAAGCUGAGGCACUUCUGAAAAACUUUCCUGUUCAAGCUACAAUUUCUUUUUAUGAAGACACAGACAGUGAGGAGGAUGAAGGUGAACUGGAGCAAGAUGCAAGAGCAGAAUCACAUUGCUGAUGGCAAGAAAGGCC
rnacentral:lncRNA from 1 species